GAUGAACGCUGGCGGCGCGCCUAACACAUGCAAGUCGAACGAUUAAAGCACCUCCGGGUGUGUAUAAAGUGGCGAACGGCUGAGUAACACGUGGGCAACCUGCCCCUUUCAUUGGGAUAGCCACGGGAAACCGUGGAUAAUACCGAAUACUUCGAGACUUCCGCAUGGAAGACUCGAGAAAGCUCCGGCGGAGAGGGAUGGGCCCGCGGCCUGUUAGCUUGUUGGUGGGGUAACGGCCUACCAAGGCAAUGAUGGGUAGCUGGGUUGAGAGACCGACCAGCCAGAUUGGGACUGAGACACGGCCCAGACUCCUACGGGAGGCAGCAGUGGGGAAUCUUGCACAAUGGGCGAAAGCCUGAUGCAGCGACGCCGCGUGCGGGAUGAAGGCCUUCGGGUUGUAAACCGCUUUCAGCAGGGACGAGGCGAAAGUGACGGUACCUGCAGAAGAAGCCCCGGCUAACUACGUG
rnacentral:rRNA from 1 species